UAUUUAAUUUUACAUCUUUAAAAAUUCUGCAGGAAAAUAUAACAAAGACAAAAGGCAAGCGGAAAAUCGAAGAAAUUACUUCUUAUAAUGCCCAUGACGAAGAGCUAGUUUCUUUAUUAUAUAAAGAAUCCUAUACAUCAAUUGUUUAAACCCAAUAAAACAUGUAGGACAAGAUAAUUCUCAGAAAAGAAAAUACAAACAGCUUUGCAAUUUAUCACAAGGGGCAUCUGAUUGGCUUUGUUGGUGGAACAUGGGACUCUUGAUCUCAGAGUCACGAGUUCAAACCCCACGUUGGGCAUAAAAGCUUACUUUAAAAAAACAAAAACAGAAAAAAAAAAGUUUGACCUCACUCAUAAUGUUAAACAUGCAAAUUAAAAACUGUGGGGAAGAUCACAAAAAUAGCUACCAAAUUUCAAAUUCAGAUACUCUGACCCAGUAAUUCCUCUUCUAAAUAUGUAUGUGUUCCACACACACCUAUGGUGGAUGAGAAACCAGGAUUCCACUGCACUGCUACUAGUAGCAACAGGUGUUUGGAAAUAACCAGAAUGCCUCCCCAAGGCAGCCCAACGGUGGCAGAUCCAUGCAUGAAAUGCUGUGAACCUGUUAGCACAAGGAGACAGCUCCUACGUUGCAAUGUGCAAACAGUCAAGGCACCAACAUGGUGUGGCUGUAGCUAACCUCAGUGCUUUAAAACAAGAAUGAAUAUGUAAAUAUAAAAAUAUAUACACAUUGUUUAUACAACAAACAGAUCUGGGGAAUAAUAAAAAAAAACACCUGGUUGUUUCUGGGAGAUUGAGAGGUUUGUUGGAGGUGGACACUUUUUACUUGUACUCUGUUGAGCUUUUCAGAUUUUACUAACCUCCUUAAAAGCAAUGAUUUAAUUUCAAAAUAGCUUCUUCACAAGAAAAAUGCAACUUAAAAAUUUUUUAAUUAAUGUAUUUAUUUGAGAGAGAGAGAGAUUGAGCAUGAGUGGGAGGAGCAGAGGGAGAGGAAAAGCAGGCUCCCCGCUCAGCAGGGAGCUGGACUCAGGAUUCCAUCUCAUGACCCUGAGAUCACCACCUGAGUGGAAACCAAGAGUCGGACACCUAGCCAGCUGUGCCUUCCAGGCACCCCACAACUUAAAAUGUUUACGUAAAGAUUAAAAAUUAGGAAUAUAAGUGAGAAAAACAUAACUCAUCCAACAAAAUAUUAAAAAUGAAUAAAGUUGGUGGUGAUUUUCCCCUUGAUGAGCAGUCAUAGCUGCUGGAUGGUUUUCAGACCUAUAAACACAGGUGAGUCCCAUUGCAGGUGAUGACUGAGCCCAUCACUGAUGGAAGAUAUUUAGGCUCGGACAUCAGAAAACAGUACACCAUCAGAGGUGAAAAUGGAUAUAACUGGGGUUGAUGACAUGAUUCUACUCGUUCAGAUGGCAUCUGAGCACUUUGCCCCAAACAACAUCGAUGCUCACCUGCGGAAAGACUCAGGUUCCCAUCCUAUCUGCUGUUUCAAGAGAAGCAGGUUCCCAUGUCAGCCCCAAACAGAGAAGAGACAGUGGCACCUGACCAGUGGAGGGCAGGGUACAUUUUCAACUUCUCAAGAUUCUAGCACCAGCAAUUGAUUUUCUACUGGGAGUUAGAGCCUUUAGGAAAAGUGGCAAGUGGGGAAAAAUGUUACCUGGAAACAUAUAAUGAGAAUGUAAAAUCAUUCUUUGAUCUUUCUACUUUGGCGUCAAAACGCCCAUAUUCAUGUCAGUGCUAUUUGUAAUAAUGGAAACAUGAGAAAUAGGUUGAAACUUUAUUUUGCUUUCUAAAUAUUUGGAUGGAGACUAUGCUGAUUCUAACAGGUGAAAUAACACUGAAUUAAAAGCAGAAACACACUUGUUACCAUUACAGGAAGGCUAUGUGGAGACAUUAUCACAAGUAAUCUGAAUUUGGUGGAUCAAAAGCAGGUGUUGAGAGGUGUGCGUUAGUGUUUGGGUGAAUGGUUGCUCCCAGGUUCAGAAUCCACCCAUCAGCCUGGCAGGCUCCACAACAGAGCGAGGAGGGGUGGAUGGGCCACAGUAGCAGGUCAGCACUGCCGAGGUAGGAUUACUGAUGUCACAUCCCCGGCAUAGGGAGGCCAGCUGGCCUGGUCCCUGACUAGUUUGUGCCAGGCUCCCGCCUGGGGUUAAAGCCACCUGCUGGUCCCGAGGAGGAAGUACAGCCUCAGUCCCAGAGAUCAGGUGGACCAGGCACACCAGGACUUAUGAUGACCACCACUUGUCAUCAACCGGCUUUGAGGGCACACAGAAGCAUCUUCACUGGCUCCUGGUCCAUCGUCACUAUUUCCUGCCAAUCCUAUGACUUCCUCUCUGUCUUUGCCAAGGUUCCACGUGUUACCUUCUCUCAGUCCCGAUCAACAGAAGAUCCUCUUGACCAUCUUUGGUCAUGGUGAGAAUGCCUCACCAUGGCAUCUUUCCUCUGGUGAUGCCUCACUAGUGCAUCACCAGUGCCCCAAGGCUGGAGGACCAUCUCUGUGCCCCAGCCCACCCCUAAUUUCUCUCUGGGGAUGCAGCAAUGUGCCUUAUCAUUAAACAAUAAAAAAAAAAAAAUAAAGGAGUGCUUGAUUCACCAAGAUAAACACACAUUAUGUCUCGGGGUAUUUUUUUAAUGUCCUGUUCAUCCCAUCAUUCAGCCAACUCUCAGUUGUCUGUUGGUGAGUUUGGCUGAUGCGAAUCAUUUACUUUCAGGUCCAUUUUUGCUACUGCUGUUAUUGGUGCUUCGUAUAGCGGGACCUGACUGCCUCAAAGAAGAGCCCCAGGGAUGGACCCGCGCAUGACCUGCACAUCCCAGGGGAGUGAGGACAUGUGGCUGCGGACAUCUACCUCCUUUGGCUCCCGUGUGACUCCCUCUGCUGGCCUCUGCUUCCUGACCACCCACUGAGCACUCCUCUUCUAUCUGCCAUGGAUGUAAAUGGGUCAGAGAAAGAGCCUAAUAAACACCCAUCCAGACUUAUAUAAAAGCCAGAAGAAUGGAACAGAAGGGCAGGGACCAGUCGCACGAGAUGGGAAGUCGUUAGGUCCAUCUAUGGCUCUGACAUGUCCUAAAACCAGAUGGCCCCUCAGCCACCCCCUUGGCCUUAAUCCCUGUGCACUCAAAGCAGGCCCUCAUCUGGUCAUUGGCCCACCUUCCCCUGGCCUGGAUCUGUGUGGGCCCAGUCAAGAAAUGUUCUAAAUCCCUUUCCCUAAAUCCAUCUUGUGACACCACUACAACUGCCUGAUUUUUCCAAACUCAUUAAAAAUUAGAAGACGUGUGCAUGUGCAAAACUUGAGAACAGAAACACAAAAAAACUUUGGGAAAUGUAUGGCAUUCAUCUAUAUAAAAGUCUUAACUGAGUUCCAGCACAGUGGUUGGUCUUUCUCCCCACGCUUUCUCAUUGUGCUUGUCAAUGAUGAGAACACUGGAAAAUGGCCAAUGUCAGCAAUUGUGGGGCAAGAGGAUGGUCUGCGUUUCUCACUAGGAUGCAUGAGUAAGGUGCACCACAGUUCCUGUGUUCUUGUCCCCAAAAAUGCAUACUGUGAAUCUACUCCUGAGGAAACAAACCAAACCCAAACCAAAUGACAGUCUAUAAAUCUACUGACUUAUACUCUCUCUUUU
rnacentral:lncRNA from 1 species